GAUGAACGCUGGCGGCGUGCCUAAUACAUGCAAGUCGAGCGAACGGACGAGAAGCUUGCUUCUCUGAUGUUAGCGGCGGACGGGUGAGUAACACGUGGAUAACCUACCUAUAAGACUGGGAUAACUUCGGGAAACCGGAGCUAAUACCGGAUAAUAUUUUGAACCGCAUGGUUCAAAAGUGAAAGACGGUCUUGCUGUCACUUAUAGAUGGAUCCGCGCUGCAUUAGCUAGUUGGUAAGGUAACGGCUUACCAAGGCAACGAUGCAUAGCCGACCUGAGAGGGUGAUCGGCCACACUGGAACUUAGACACGGUCCAGACUCCUACGGGAGGCAGCAGUAGGGAAUCUUCCGCAAUGGGCGAAAGCCUUACGGAGCAACGCCGAGUGAGUGAUGAAGGUCUUCGGAUCGUAAAACUCUGUUAUUAGUGAAGAACAUAUGUGUAAGUAACUGUGCACAUCUUGACGGUACCUAAUCAGAAAGCCACGGCUAACUACGUG
rnacentral:rRNA from 1 species